rnacentral:rRNA from 1 species
GAUGAACGCUGACAGAAUGCUUAACACAUGCAAGUCUUUGGCGAAGCUGUGCUUGCACAGCCUAGCCAAGGCGGACGGGUGAGUAACGCGUAAGGAACUUGCCCUGCAGUCAGGGAUAACAGACGGAAACGACUGAUAAGACCUGGUAAAGUCAGGCGGACUCAUGUCCAGCCUGAUGAAAAGUGAUGCUGCAGGAGAGCCUUGCGUCCUAUUAGCUUGUUGGUGGGGUAACGGCCCACCAAGGCGAUGAUAGGUAGCCGGCCUGAGAGGGUGGACGGCCACAAGGGGACUGAGAUACGGCCCUUACUCCUACGGGAGGCAGCAGUGGGGAAUAUUGGACAAUGGGGGCAACCCUGAUCCAGCAAUUCUGUGUGCACGAUGAAGGUUUUCGGAGUGUAAAGGGCUUUCAGCAGGGAAGAAAAAAAUGACGGUACCUGCAGAAGAAGCGACGGCUAAAUACGUG